rnacentral:lncRNA from 1 species
UGUCUGCUUUAAACACACAAAUGUCACCUCUGUGUCCUGUCUUUUGGAAAGUCAGCAUUGAUGCCCUGGGGCAGGCUUCAUUCUCACUGUGAUUUAUGCCUAGACCUGACCUGGGAGAACUUUCAGAGACAGCUGUGGUGGACUGUGCUUCUCAGACCCUUGGUGAGUGAGAAACAGUUGAUGUUGCCUGCUGCUGUAAGACCCCAACUCAUUGGGUUUCUUAGACUCCCUAGAAAUGAAGCCCAGCUUGGAGUUCUUUGUUCUUUCUGCCUUCAGCCAGAAAGAAAGGUGAGAUGGGUGACCCACCUAGGCAUCUGACCCAUUGUGUAAGGGACCCAGAAUGUUUACUCAACUUCCCCAGGCUCUGUGAUCUAUCCUUCUCUUCACUUUCCAUGAGAGAUGAGCUGUAAUUCACCAUCCCCAUAAUUAUGAUGCUUAUCCUAUCCUCCCCUAACUUUAUGGUUCAUUCUUUAAAAACCUAGACUGCAACUGCUGGGGUCUAUCUCUUCUGCCCCUGUGUGGGUUACAAGCCCAGUCUCAGCAUGCUGAUAAUACUCGAAUAAACCUCAUGCGAUGUUGCAUCAAGAACGGUUUCUCUGGAGUUAUUGGGCAUCGGCUCAUUCCAGGACUUGAGCGAGGGUCUCCCCAGAAAUGGGGGGGGGGGGUCUUUCACUGCCAUUAGCACAGGUGGAUAUUGGGUGCCAUAUCAGUGCCCAGGUGAGGCCAGGAGCUGUCAGCUCUGGUUUUUAUGGCCAGCUUCCAUCAGCAGAGGGGCACGGUAAGUGGCUUUAGGGCCUAACUGUUCUGUUGAAAUCCACCAGGAGCACCCGUCUUAGGUCAGGAGCCAUCAGCUCUGGAUUGUGUGUACUUAGUGGGCCUCUUGCAGGAUGGCACACAGUGAGUCUGCAGACAGAGUUCCUCACGAACAUUAUGGAGCAGAUUCUUAAAGUAAUAGGCACUGAGGUGGGAACUGGUAACUGUCUUCUGUCAGAAUGUUCGAUGUGGACAUGUGAGAGAGAGCAGGGUGAAAUAUUAAAACCCUGUUCACAGAGAAUGGAGGCCCAGACCUGCCCCUUACAGCCUCUGCUGUGUGGAACUUGCUGAGGAAGGCACAGGCAGGGGACAGAGAAGCCACAGGUGCCCAGGACUGAGGGGACUCCCAUGUGCU